rnacentral:rRNA from 1 species
UACGUAGGGGGCAAGCGUUGUCCGGAAUCAUUGGGCGUAAAGAGCGUGUAGGCGGCCCGGUAAGUCCGCUGUGAAAGUCCAGGGCUCAACCCUGGAAUGCCGGUGGAAACUGUCGGGCUAGAGUCCGGAAGAGGCGAGUGGAAUUCCUGGUGUAGCGGUGAAAUGCGUAGAUAUGUGGAGGAAUACCGAUGGCGAAGGCAGCCCCCUGGGACGUAACACUGACGCUCAUGGCACGAAAGC